UACAGAGGUCCCAAGCGUUGUUCGGAUUCACUGGGCGUAAAGGGUGCGUAGGUGGCCGGGUAAGUUCGGUGUGAAAGCUCGGAGCUCAACUCCGAAAUGGCAUUGAAUACUAUCCGGCUUGAGGGUCGGAGGGGAGACUGGAAUUCUCGGUGUAGCAGUGAAAUGCGUAGAUAUCGAGAGGAACACCAGUGGCGAAGGCGAGUCUCUGGACGACUCCUGACACUGAGGCACGGAAAGCUAAGGGGAGCAAACCAGG
rnacentral:rRNA from 1 species